CUACCUCUUCUUCUUUCAUUUAUAUUUGUUUUUUGAGUUUUCCUUAGUUUAUGUUCUCUUGUUUUGCUUGGGUUUUCUAAUCUUCAAACUUGGAGUUUUAGUACCCUCUUUUGAUGGGUCUUUUUGUGGCCACUCUAGUCUCUCUUGGAGUUGCUUUUGUUUGCAGAUCCUAGGCUUAUGAUGAAGGAAAGAUGGAAGAUUUGCUUCUAGAUGGUUCUGUGGUUAUGGUUCUAGGGGAUAUCCCUGUUGGCUAGUAACUCAGGGGCCUAUGGGUAUCGAUUUAGUCACUGGUUCCUGAGCUAGAUGAGAAUGAGACGCCGACUCUCUCGAUUCUUCCAUGGUUCUAAACUCGUCUUUUCAGUACUAAUUCGUCGCCUAGCACUCCAUGGGUUUGUCUAGGAAGCUCUUUCUGGGUUCAGGAUGGAUGUUUUGUAUUUCAAGCCCUUGCUUUGGAAGAGUUCUCUUCUUUUGUGCUUCCAUGAAUGUUUUACUCUAUAUCCCCUGUGGCAUCCGAUCAAUCUCUCUAAUGGUGGCCCGAACCCAGUUAGUCGCUAGGGCUCCCAUUUGGUAGGUUUAAGCCUUGUCUUUGUUCUGUGUUUUACUUAGGCUUAUUUAUAUUAACGGGCAAGGUCCAUGUAUUUCUAUUUCAUCAAUCAUUUUCCAU
rnacentral:misc_RNA from 1 species